rnacentral:lncRNA from 1 species
ACAGAUGGACGUUGAUUCUCCGGCGGAAUCGCCUUCGGAGACCGCGCAGCGGGCCUCGCCUUCUACGGGCGGGCUUCCGGCGCGUACGCCAGCGCAGGCUGCGGCAGCCGCGCAGGUCCAAGAAAUGCUUCGCGCGGCUCGCGACAAUCAAGUCCCCGCUCUUCAAGCGGAAUUAUCUUCCUUUAAGGGAGAGGUUCAUGGCAUUCUCGCCGAAUACGGCGAGCGCUUGGGCGAAAUAACCUCCGCCCUGAAGGAUGUGCAAGCGCAGCUUCGGGAUUUGUCACCUACGUCGCCGCCUCCGAGUACGUCGGACACUAGGCGUAAGACGAUAAUUAUUGAUGGCAUCUGCGAGACGUUGGACAGCAAUCUGGCCGCGUUUCUUGACGUGGAUAUGCUGCAGAAUUGCGCUUUCCAGGCGCUUCUGCAGCGCCACCUUAAUCCCGAAGUACGCUUGGAAGAGGUCAAGCAGCUCUGGGGCGGGGCAUCGCCAAGCAAGCCGGUGGUCCUUCCGGCUCGGCGGCCCCUCCUUCCAAGUCNNNNNNNNNNNNNNNNNNNNNNNNNNNNNNNNNNNNNNNNNNNNNNNNNNACAACAGCAAAUGUGAAGCCACGGGCUACAUGCCCUUCUACCUUGUGUAUGGCUGCCGUCCACGAAUGCCGGACGACUACGGCCUUCCACUCAAAAUGAAACAACACUGUAGCAGGCUACAUUUCCCUUAGAAUAUUUUAACGAUUACUUUUAACAAUAACUGUUAAUUUGUUAAACGAUCUGACUCAAGUUUCGUACAUGUUCCGAGUUUCGUCACAUGUCGCGAACUGGGCAGUUGUUCGUAAGCGAAUCUAACGGGCUGGGGCCCCGGGCCCCACCAACAUUAUCCUAGUACGGCAAGGUCCGUAGUAGAGAUUAUCCGGCAGGUAGGCCGAGAUAUAAGCUACCCGGGCGGGGUGUUCUGGCCAGACACUGACGUAUCACAUUACUAGGUGUUCGGAGUUCAAGACUCCGCUGCCGCCGUCUCUAACUGUUACGUACACAUCUUAUGUACGCUAGUGCUUGCCGCUUGGUUGGACUUCUUCCUACAACGACGAGGACCAAUAACUCCACGCUUCCGCUCUGUCAGUCCUCCCGUCAGGUGAGCGACUGCUACAUUGGUAUCGAGGGUCAAGUUCGAUCCUCCUUGACGCGAUGCGCUACAAUAAGGCCGCGCUAAAGCGUUUGACUAAAUUCCUUAAGCUUCAAAAAUUGUAUGAAAGGUACCGCGAAGCAUCCCUUCAGGAACAGGACCCUACUGCGCCCGAGGCUACUGAGUCCGACGACGAAGACGAACGCCCUUUGGCUAUUCCCAAUAAGGAACAUCAUAUUAAUAAUAUUCCUGUUGAUUGUCCACAGAUGGACGUUGAUUCUCCGGCGGAAUCGCCUUCGGAGACCGCGCAGCGGGCCUCGCCUUCUACGGGCGGGCUUCCGGCGCGUACGCCAGCGCAGGCUGCGGCAGCCGCGCAGGUCCAAGAAAUGCUUCGCGCGGCUCGCGACAAUCAAGUCCCCGCUCUUCAAGCGGAAUUAUCUUCCUUUAAGGGAGAGGUUCAUGGCAUUCUCGCCGAAUACGGCGAGCGCUUGGGCGAAAUAACCUCCGCCCUGAAGGAUGUGCAAGCGCAGCUUCGGGAUUUGUCACCUACGUCGCCGCCUCCGAGUACGUCGGACACUAGGCGUAAGACGAUAAUUAUUGAUGGCAUCUGCGAGACGUUGGACAGCAAUCUGGCCGCGUUUCUUGACGUGGAUAUGCUGCAGAAUUGCGCUUUCCAGGCGCUUCUGCAGCGCCACCUUAAUCCCGAAGUACGCUUGGAAGAGGUCAAGCAGCUCUGGGGCGAGGGCAUCGCCAAGCAAGCCGGUGGUCCUUCCGGCUCGGCGGCCCCUCCUUCCAAGUCUGCUCGUCCCUCCGAG